rnacentral:lncRNA from 1 species
AGUCCAGCUUUUGCCUCCAAAAUGUGCAGCAUGGGGCAGGGCAGUGUGAGGGCUAUGAUGCGGAAUGAUGGCUGUUUGCUUUGGGAUCCUGGCAGAUGCUGGAUCUCUUUACAGAUGGGAGCGAAAGAGGCCCACACUUAAUGUGCAGCUGAAUGCCGGCCAGCUGCAGUAUAUCCGCUUAGCCCAGCCUGUAUCAGGCACUCAAGUUGUGCAGGGACAGAUCCAGACACUUGCCACCAAUGCUCAACAGGGGCAAAGAAAUGC